GCAAAAUAUAAUAAUCUGACGAAAACAGAAAAGGUGGGGGAAUUAGUCAAGAACUCCGAUCCCACCUACCCAUCGAUCAAUCAACUCCGGUUACUCCCCAAUCCGCCAAGACGGGCCCGGGAAUCCCAACGCGCGAGCGGAAGAAGGGAAUCCCGCUGCGCGAAGCGAGCUCGAGGUGAUGAUUUGUUUCGGUUUAUGGACGGAGCAAGCAAGGAGCCUCUCCACAAGGACUACUACAAAGUUCUGGAGGUUGACUAUGACGCAUCUGACGACACCAUCAAAUUGAGCUAUAGAAGAUUAGCUUUGAUGUGGCAUCCAGACAAGCAUAAGGGUGAUAGCGAUGUCACAGCUAAAUUUCAGGAGAUUAAUGAAGCAUACAAGGUUUUAAGUGAUCCAGCUAAGCGACUAGAAUACGACCUUUCCGGCUGUUACGAGAUCAAUCAAUAUACUUUGCGUGAGUACCUUACAAGAUUUAAGGGUAUGAUACUUACCUGCAAUGGCCUUGGCAUAGGUCACCCCUCAAAAUGGUCUCGGCAUUUGAGGGAAUUGAAGCCCCAUUGAUCAACAGGUAUAGAUGUACCAUCACUGAUGCUGAUCAGAUUUACUGUUCUUUGUAAGAUACAAUGUGGUGUGUCUCAUACAAUGGCAAUUUGCCCCUUUCUGCCAAAAGAGAUUCAUGUAUAUUAUUUCCAGUUGCUCUUAUUGGUGACUGACUGGUUACUAAUACAAAUUAGCACCUUUGUCAAUAUAAGCGCAGCUCAAAAGAAGCUAAACACUAGAAGGACUAUUUAAAUCAUAAACCUUCAUGUUAGUCAGAGUGUAGACCAGCUUGCAUCACCGAAACCUCUGUGAGCCGACGUCGCUACCGGCAGCCUUUGGUUGGACAAGAUAUUAAUCAUUACUGGAAAUCUACUCUUUUUUUUUCCAGAUCAGCGCUUCCUUUAUUAUCUGCGUGGUAUAAAAUCAGCAAGUGGCUUGCUUCUGAAUCAAUGCACUCUGAUCCCCAAGUGCAGUGUCUUGACCUGUAAAGUGUGUGGAAGCUAGUCUUGCCAUGUCAGCUUUUGUCUCAAUAAUCGCGUACCAGGCGUGAUCUUCAAAUCGCAAUGAAUCAUGAAUAGGCUCACUGCUUCAUGUAUGUCAAUCGUUGUAUGGCAAUCGUUGUGUGUUGUUGGUAUCCAGUAGGCCAGCCACUAUCAGCCACUAUCAACAAUUGUUCUGUGCUAUUACUACGAGCAAUUCACGUGAAGGGAGACUACAGACGUUGGCGUCCGAAACAGAAUCAGGAACUGAAUAUCAGCGUGCAUUGCUGAAGCCUGAAGGCCUGAGACCUCCUGACGUUCUUGGAUAAUGGUCGCACACUACUGAAAAUCAGCGUGCAUUACUGAAAAUCACCGAGUGGGUUGCAUAUCUUUUAGUUCAAAUGUAGUACUCCCUCCAUCCUAAAAUAAAUGUACUUCUAGAGUUUGGGUGAAGAGAUCAUUGUUAGUGAAAAAAUUACAUAUAUACUCGUAUAAAGAUGUAAUCAUUACAUUUUGGGAGGAGAGAAAGUAGAAAAAGACAAUUAGAAUUAGGUGGUUCCA